rnacentral:rRNA from 1 species
CUGUGAGCUCGAUGAGUAGGGCGGGACACGUGGUAUCCUGUCUGAAUAUGGGGGGACCAUCCUCCAAGGCUAAAUACUCCUGACUGACCGAUAGUGAACCAGUACCGUGAGGGAAAGGCGAAAAGAACCCCGGCGAGGGGAGUGAAAAAGAACCUGAAACCGUGUACGUACAAGCAGUGGGAGCACAGAGCAAUCUGUGUGACUGCGUACCUUUUGUAUAAUGGGUCAGCGACUUAUAUUCUGUAGCAAGGUUAACCGAAUAGGGGAGCCGAAGGGAAACCGAGUCUUAACUGGGCGUUAAGUUGCAGGGUAUAGACCCGAAACCCGGUGAUCUAGCCAUGGGCAGGUUGAAGGUUGGGUAACACUAACUGGAGGACCGAACCGACUAAUGUUGAAAAAUUAGCGGAUGACUUGUGGCUGGGGGUGAAAGGCCAAUCAAACCGGGAGAUAGCUGGUUCUCCCCGAAAGCUAUUUAGGUAGCGCCUCGUGAAUUCAUCUCCGGGGGUAGAGCACUGUUUCGGCAAGGGGGUCAUCCCGACUUACCAACCCGAUGCAAACUGCGAAUACCGGAGAAUGUUAUCACGGGAGACACACGGCGGGUGCUAACGUCCGUCGUGAAGAGGGAAACAACCCAGACCGCCAGCUAAGGUCCCAAAGUCAUGGUUAAGUGGGAAACGAUGUGGGAAGGCCCAGACAGCCAGGAUGUUGGCUUAGAAGCAGCCAUCAUUUAAAGAAAGCGUAAUAGCUCACUGGUCGAGUCGGCCUGCGCGGAAGAUGUAACGGGGCUAAACCAUGCACCGAAGCUGCGGCAGCGACACUGUGUGUUGUUGGGUAGGGGAGCGU